CUCUAAAUUAAGAUGGACAGAUUGUGAUGGUAGAUUAUUAUAAGAGCUUGUGGCUUUAAAAGACUCUCAUGUAUUUAAUGUAAAUAAUGUAAUGUAAUGCAUGUUUCUUAAUGUAUUUAUAUUCAUUUAUUGAAUAACAGAGAGAUUUUGAGCAGUCAUGUCAUGUUAUUUUAAUUUUAAA